GACGAACGCUGGCGGCGUGCUUAACACAUGCAAGUCGAACGGAAAGGCCCUGCUUUUGUGGGGUGCUCGAGUGGCGAACGGGUGAGUAACACGUGAGUAACCUGCCCUUGACUUUGGGAUAACUUCAGGAAACUGGGGCUAAUACCGGAUAGGAGCUCCUGCUGCAUGGUGGGGGUUGGAAAGUUUCGGCGGUUGGGGAUGGACUCGCGGCUUAUCAGCUUGUUGGUGGGGUAGUGGCUUACCAAGGCUUUGACGGGUAGCCGGCCUGAGAGGGUGACCGGCCACAGUGGGACUGAGAUGCGGCCCAGACUCCUACGGGAGGCAGCAGGGGAGAAUAUUGCACAAUGGGCGGGAGCGUGAUGCAGCAACGCCGCGUGCGGGAUGACGGCCUUCGGGUUGUAAACCGCUUUCGCCUGUGACGGAGCGUGAGUGGCGGUAAUGGGAAAAGAAGCACCGGCUAACUACG
rnacentral:rRNA from 1 species